AUACGUAGGGGGCGAGCGUUGUCCGGAAUGAUUGGGCGUAAAGGGCGCGUAGGCGGCCCGGUAAGUCUGGAGUGAAAGUCCUGUUUUUAAGAUGGGAAUUGCUUUGGAUACUGUCGGGCUUGAGUGCAGGAGUGGUAAGUGGAAUCCCCAGUGUAGCGGUGAAAUGCGUAGAGAUUGGGAGGAACACCAGUGGCGAAGGCGACUUACUGGACUGUAACUGACGCUGAGGCGCGAAAGUGUGGGGAGCAAACAGGAUUAGAUACCCUGGUAGUCCACACUGUAAACGAUGAAUGCUAGGUGUAGGGGUAUCGACCCCUUCUGUGCCGCAGUCAACACAAUAAGCAUUCCGCCUGGGGAGUACGGCCGCAAGGUUGAAACUCAAAUGAAUUGACGGGG
rnacentral:rRNA from 1 species